rnacentral:tmRNA from 1 species
GGGGCUGAUUCUGGAUUCGACGGGAUUUGCGAAACCCAAGGUGCAUGCCGAGGGGCGGUUGGCCUCGUAAAAAGCCGCAAAAAAUAGUCGCAAACGACGAAAACUACGCUUUAGCAGCUUAAUAACCUGCUUAGAGCCCUCUCUCCCUAGCCUCCGCUCUUAGGACGGGGAUCAAGAGAGGUCAAACCCAAAAGAGAUCGCGUGGAAGCCCUGCCUGGAGUUGAAGCGUUAAAACUUAAUCAGGCUAGUUUGUUAGUGGCGUGUCCGUCCGCAGCUGGCAAGCGAAUGUAAAGACUGACUAAGCAUGUAGUACCGAGGAUGUAGGAAUUUCGGACGCGGGUUCAACUCCCGCCAGCUCCACCA